CAGCAGCCGCGGUAAUACGAAGGGUGCAAGCGUUAAUCGGAAUUACUGGACGUAAAGCGUGCGUAGGCGGUGAGUUAAGUCUGCUGUGAAAUCCCCGGGCUCAACCUGGGAAUGGCAGUGGAUACUGGCUCGCUAGAGUGUGUCAGAGGAUGGUGGAAUUCCCGGUGUAGCGGUGAAAUGCGUAGAGAUCGGGAGGAACAUCAGUGGCGAAGGCGGCCAUCUGGGACAACACUGACGCUGAGGCACGAAAGCGUGGGGAGCAAACAGGAUUAGAUACCCCCGUAGUCCCUGUCUCUUAUAC
rnacentral:rRNA from 1 species